rnacentral:siRNA from 1 species
UUUGAUCCGCCAGCAAGUCCCAGU